rnacentral:lncRNA from 11 species
AUGCUCUUUCAAACUGUCUCUUCCUUUGCUUUAGCAAUGUGUUUCAGCUGACAUGCUAUUCAAGACUGACUUCAUUGAAAAAGCAAUCGCUGAAAUGGCAGAAAAAAACUUUGCUGAAAAGUGCCUGUGAUCAAUCCCGUUGCUGCAGCAGGCAAUGUGGACUGAAUGGAGGAUUGAAGCAUUAUUCCAUGAAAUAAACAACUAUUCUAUGAAUUGAGAAACAUCUGGCAGGCAAACCUUGAGGAUUUUCAAACCUAAUUCAAGAAAAGGUUUGACUGAACGUACUGUUCAAGUAUGAGAUAAAAUGAAAAUGUAAACAACAUCCAAGAUUAAAUGGAACCCAACUGGGGAAAGUUCAUUUGUGUUUUAAUAAGCUGGCUCUGUUUUUGAAAGAACGGAAAUCUGUAGUGUGUCCAAAAAACAUGCACUCCUGGUCAUCCAAUUGAUCUGCUGGUUUUACUUCCUACUGAUCUCUUGAGGCCUACUCUGAAGCGAUUACCAUCAGCAUACAAUGAUGAAUGUAGUCUGUACUGGGUUACCUGUUGGCUAACUAAAAAUACUUGAAAA